rnacentral:lncRNA from 1 species
GCAAUUUAGAAUGUAUUUUAAAGUAAAUUCUCAGGUUCACUGUUAUUUUACUCGUCAAUUUUCAAGUUUUCAUCUUCCUAAAGAUCUCACUUGUAGAGUUCAAUUCUUGAUAAGAGUUAGGGGUAUUAAAUUAUGGAAUGGUUUAUCCCAUCUAGCAAAAUGUCUUGUUAUAGUGUAUUUUGUAUAUAUACAAUUAUUAUUAUUAUUAUUAUUAUUAUUAUUUAUUUUUUUUUUUUUUAGUGUAUUUGUUAUAUAUACAAUUAUUAUUAUUAUUAUUAUUAUUAUUAUUAUUUUUUUUUUUUUUUUUUUUUUAGGAUUAUGUACCAUAUAUUGUUUGUUUUUGGAGUAUAUCAUUUCUGUUUUUUUAUUAUUUUUGUUUUGAUGUAUGUUGUAAAUAUUUUGUAGGUAUUUAUAUUUAUAUAUUUGUUGUUGUUAUUUAGCUCUGAGGUGGAGCCCUUUGGGUUUUCUGCCUCUUCCUGCACAGACGCUUUGACUUUCAUAUCAUCAUGUUUGUCUAGAACUGCAGAAAUGCCCAUCAAAAUCUACAGCAAUCUACAUGUAAAAGCUACUGAUAUCAUUUUAAAAAUUAAAUCAGUGGUUCUCAAUUACCCCCAUAAAGAAACAACUGUGUAUAGUCGUCAGAUAUUACAGCAAAAAGCUCUCACGAAUCAUUAGCACUUUUGCAGGAAUGAUCAAUAUAGUAGCUGGUGAUUCACUUACCAUAGCAAAUGCAUUAUUCAAAUUUCUGGAUGAAAACAAAUUGUCCAUACUGAAUUGCAUCGGUCUUGCAACUGAUGGCUGUAACACAAUGUGUGGGCAACAUAAUUCAGUGCUACAGAAAUUCUGUGACCGCAAUCCUCAUAUUGUCUACAUAAAGUGUGUGUGCCAUUCUCUUCAGCUCUGUGCAUCAAAAGCCGUCAGUGUCCUCCCCAGAAAUGUUGAGUACAUGGUUUCUCAGACCUACAGUUGGUUUUCAAAUGCCACCCAGCGUCUCCAAAAAUAUUCUGAACUGUACAAAACCAUAAAUGUAGGUGAAAGCCCACUGAAGAUUCUGCAACUGUCUGAUACUAGGUGGCUCGCUAUUAGUGAGUGCAUCAACCGGAUCCUUGCACAGUAUGUGGAGCUUAAGUUGCAUUUUCAGUUGACAAAAGACAGUGAGAGGAGCUAUGCUGCGGAACUGCUGUACCAAAUGUAUAGUGACAAUAUUAACCUGAUAUACCUGAAAUUCCUCCAACCAAUUGUGUCAGAGUUAAACAGACUUAAUAAAAUCUUUCAACUUGACAAACCUGAUCCUGCGUCAUACUCUAUGAUCCAGAGUCAUACUCUGUCGUCAAGUAAGCCAAGGAUUGAUGAUCUUCCCUUUUUCCACCUCUUCAAGGGAGAUGUAGGAAAAGCAGAGCAACAGUGGAGAGUAAUUCACACUCUGGAAUGGAACAAUGCAGAAGAUGGCAAAACAGAGGACUUCUGGGUAGAAGUUUCUGCAUACACAGAUACUGCAGAACAGCCGCAGAUCUGGAGAGAAAAGCAUCAGAGAGAAGUGCUGAGAAGAGAAAAAGUAAGUACAACUGUUUACUUCUGACUAGGGUCAGAAAAUAUCAGAGAGGAUAUGUUCUUAUUUGACCUUUAUUGUAUGAGAUUGUGUAUUAAAAAAAACAGUGUGUGUUAUUAAGAAUUUGGGUAAGACAAAAGGCGAAUACUUUAAACUUAAACUUAUAUAAAUUUAUUUUAAGGCCCUUUGUGGGAAUCCAGCCGUUGUCUAAUCUGAUUGGACACUGAAAAAUUGGGCUAGUUUUCAUUCCAUUUGGGCGGGUUUUGAGUUGUCAUUGGGCUGGAAAUAUUUCUGGGACCUGGCAACCCUGCUUGUGGCGCAGAUGAUACAGAAGAGCAUACGCAGCAUACAGUGAUAUGGAGAGACACAGAGGAGACCGUUGACAAAGGAAUUGUUGAAUAAAGUUAUUUUUGUUUUCUUCGCUUACAAAAAGUGUUGUGAAUUCAUGAACCGUGACAACAUCUGGAAAGGGGUGGGGGGGUGUCGGUCUUAUAAUCAAGGGUCAUCUUAUAUUCGGGACAAUACGGUAAUUAGAUAAUAUCAGAAAAUACGGUAAUUAGAUAAUAUCAGAAUUAUGGUGAUAAGUUAUAUUUUAGCAGUUUAAACAACAAACAAGACUACAUGGAGCUACAAUCGCAAACCACUCAGCAGCACUGCAGACUAGAGACCUCCACCGGAUAGAUUUUUCAGUCCCACUCCCACAAAAUUCUGUCCUGCACCUGCUGGCUCCCGCAGAAAUAUGUCUUAUCUGGUCCCGCCUGCGACAUUCAUGUUUUGUCCCGUUCCUGCCCACAAAACAGUAAUCUAGAUAGAUUUUUUCCAGUACAUUGAAUAAAUUUACAUGAAAUGGAACUCCCGCGGGAGUGAAGGUCUCUACUGCAGACCAAUAGGAUUGGAGGUGCACUCUGGGAUACUUGCUAUGAUGAGGCUUUUUAAUACAUGGAUACAUCAUUGCAUCAACUUGCAGUAGUUGUUACUAUGCUGGACUACCUGUCAAAUUUUUUGAUUAAUGACCUUUUACCCUGAGGGGUUUUACCCCUUGAACUUGCACCACCCACGUUGCAUUCACCUUUGACCUGUUAAUAAUUUCUGGUGUCAAUAUGCCAUAUGGCUUUAGGAUACUGGGAAUUACAACGUUGACCCGUGACCUUUUAAUUAUCUCCUGCCGUCAAUAUGACAUACAUUUUUAUUAUAUGUGGAAUUCUAUCAUUGACGCAUGACCUCUGGGAGGUGUAAUAUGAAGAUUGGCUUUUCAGGUUUAUUUUUGACCUUUUACAUCCGGCCACAUCUGCAGACCAUAUGUGGGUAUCCUGCCUCAUUCCAUCUCAUGGUGUGUUUCAGUCAUUCCAUGCUCAUGUGAGAGAAGAAGGUAUCGGCCGAAUUUAAUGAUGAACAAACAAUAUCAAAUUAAGUAAAGAAAUAAACCAUUUUAACAGACCAUAAAAUCAUAUCACACACACACACACACACACACACACACACAAUUUAAUCUAUGAAAGGUAUAAAUGUACAAUGUUUUAUUAAAAGGCAAAACAGAGUAUCGCUUGUGUAUCAACAAACUCUUGUUUAUCAAUCAACUCAAGUUCUCACUGCUUACAGGCACCUGCAAU